rnacentral:rRNA from 1 species
UACGUAGGGGGCGAGAGUUGUCCGGAUUUACUGGGUGUAAAGGGUGCUCAGGUGGAUUUGUAAGUCAGAGGUGAAAUCCCAAAGCUCAACUUUGGAGCUGCCUUUGAUACUGCAAGUCUGGAGUUUGGGAGAGGGUAAUGGAAUAUCUGGUGUAGCAGUGAAAUGCGUAGAUAUCAGAUAGAACACCAAUGGCGAAGGCAGUUGCCUGGCCCAAAACUGACGCUAAAGCACGAAAGUGUGGGGAGCAAACAGG